rnacentral:rRNA from 1 species
AGGGCACCACCAGGAGUGGAGCCUGCGGCUUAAUUUGACUCAACACGGGAAAACUCACCCGGCCCGGACACUGGAAGGAUUGACAGAUUGAGAGCUCUUUCUUGAUUCAGUGGGUGGUGGUGCAUGGCCGUUCUUAGUUGGUGGAGUGAUUUGUCUGGUUAAUUCCGAUAACGAACGAGACUCUAGCCUACUAAAUAGAUCGUCGGCUUACAAACGCCGGCGAGACUUCUUAGAGGGACAGGCGGUGAUUCAACCGCACGAAACAGAGCAAUAACAGGUCUGUGAUGCCCUUAGAUGUCCGGGGCCGCACGCGCGCUACACUGAAGUGAUCAGCGUGCUUUUUCAACCUACUCUGUCAAGAGUGGGGAACCCAAUGAACCUUCUUCGUGAUUGGGAUAGGGGAUUGUAAUUAUUCCCCUUGAGCGAGGAAUUCCCAGUAAGCGCGAGUCAUAAGCUCGCGUUGAUUACGUCCCUGCCCUUUGUACACACCGCCCGUCGCUACUACCGAUUGAAUGUUGU